rnacentral:lncRNA from 1 species
AGAUAGAAGAGAAGAUCACUUAACUCUCUCAGUCACUUCACCAAUAUCUAGAUCGAGAUCAACUCGUCAAGAGUUCCUUAGAUGGAUGGAUGAAUGAUCAUGUUUACUGCCUACCUAUGCGAGUAGCACGCAUUGCCAACAGAUGAGUUGUGAACAUGUUAGAUUCGUCUCCAUCCGAAGAUGUAUUGCCAUGGAUUGCUCUCAAGCAGAGUUUCUUUUAAUGACCACCAACGAGAGCGGAUUUAAAAGGAUGUGAAUUAUUUUGUUCAUACCUUUUAUAUGCCCCAUGUCAAUCUACAUAGUGAACAUAACAAUCAUAGCAAUAAGAACUGUGGAACAAUAUCAUAAGGACCUUCACACUGCCUCAGGUGUCCACAAGGUUUCCCAAAUUUCCCCGUGAGAUUAAAUUCCCAAAGUUUCUCCGUCGAGGUGACUUCUGACUAUGAUAUUUUUAAUUAGUUGAUUUCUUUUUGUUAAAAUUGAUUUACCUGACCCGGAUUUUUAAAUGGUAUCUUUUUAUUAUUACGAAUUAUGCCUAUAGUUUAAAUCAAAUAGUAACACAAUACAAAUUUUAAAGUAAAUAAAAA